UACAGAACUUUAAACACUUGAUGGCUCAGCCAGGACCACAGGUGUGCGACUUCAGAACUUCUGGAUUAUUGCUGGAAAAUACUUUCAAGUGCUUUAUCUGAUUAUCUUUCUUAUCUCUGUGUGGAACAAAUUCCACUAGGAUUCACCACACAUCCUUUAUCCUCCAAGACUGCUUUAUCAGCUCAUUUUAAUUACAGGUAUAAGCUCUGUUUAUAACUAAAAGAUUUAUCAACAACUCUGUCUUCAAAGCACAGUGAUGUUGGUGAAGAAGAUUGGGUAUGAGUCCUAAAAUAUAAAACUAACUCAGUUCCUCCAUAUGAACCAGUAACAAGUAGUAGUAGUAGUAGUAGUAGUAGUAAUGUGGGACAGAUGCCUGAGAGGAGGAACAUAUCUGUGUUUACAUUCCUUUACUUCUAAUUCAGUGCAUGCUGCCAUCUUUCUAGCUUUGUGUGUUGAAGUAGCUUACAGCAGUUUGGCUUCCCACUGUAAUAGGCAGGGAAUAGGCAACAGCUAUCCAAACACUUUUAUGACUAUUUCAUGUUUACUACUGUAGAAUCAUCUUGCUAGGGGGUUAUUCUAUUAUAAUUAUCAUUCAUCCUUAACAUGCAACUUUUUUGGUAUAAGUUCAUAUAUUUCUUACAAAGUUCUAGGUAGAGACUUAUUUAAAACAAUGACUAUAUAAUGGAACAAUUCUUUUACAGCUCAAUUCUAUGGUAGUUCACUAGGAAGUAAAUUCAAUUGUAUUCAGUGAAGCUUACUUCCAGAUAUCAGCUAGAAGUGUUGCUAUCUUAAUUAACGAUAUAAUUUUUAACUUCUAUAUUUACUGUUACAUUUCUGUUCCUUUAGAAAGAAAUAAUCCUGAAGGGCAUAGCUUCUCUUACAAGUAAUCAUACAAUAUUGGCAAACAAGAUCAGCUAUCUAUUUUAGGAAACCAAGGGCAACUUUAAUAUUUGCUUUUUUGUUGAAUAUGGGAAUAAUUGAAGACAGCAUCAGGUAAAAAUGGCUUUAAAAUAAGCAAGUUCAAUACUUACUGGUAUUGUGGAACACUCAGAUUAAAAGCUGUGUUGUCAACAGUUUUAACUCUAGAUGCAUCUGGAUUUUUAUAUUUUUACAAAACAGGUAAUUGUAGUUUUCUGACAAGCUGGAAGUACCAUUUUAAGUUUUGACUGUCUCCUGCCAUAAAACUUGUCGCAGGGAGGAAAUGAGGAGGGGUUGUCUGUGGAGCCUUCAUUGCAGCAGGAUCUUCAAUAGUUGCCCCACAGCUAAUUGUUUGGGCCUAUUGACAGUUAACUGAAAGGAAAAUUUGUACCUGCAGCAAAAAACCUUUGGCUUAUCACAGGUAUACUGGUAAGUUAGGCUGCAAUCCUUUACACUUUUGUUGUUUAGUCGUUUAGUCGUGUCCGACUCUUCGUGACCCCAUGGACCAGAGCACGCCAGGCACUUCUGUCCUCCACUGCCUCCUGCAGUUUGUCAAACUCAUGCUCGUAGCUUCGAGAACACCAUCCAACCAUCUCGUCCUCUGUCGUCCCCUUCUCCUUGUGCCCUCCAUCUUUCCCAACAUCAGGGUCUUUUCCAGGGAGUCUUCUCUUCUCAUGAGGUGGCCAAAGUAUUGGAGCCUCAGCUUUAGGAUCUGUCCUUCCAGUGAGCACUCAAGUCUGAUUUCCUUCAGAAUGGAUAGGUUUGUUCUUCUUGCAGUCCAUGGGACUCUCAAGAGUCUCCUCCAGCACCAUAAUUCAAAAGCAUCAAUUCUUCGGCGAUCAGCCUUCUUUAUGGUCCAGCUCUCACUUCCAUACAUCACUACUGGGAAAACCAUAGCUUUUAAUAUACGGACUUUUGUUGGCAAGGUGAUGUCUCUACUUUUUAAGAUGCUGUCUAGGUUUGUCAUUGCUUUUCUCCCAAGAAGCAGGCGUCUUUUAAUUUCGUGGCUGCACUUUUACCUAGCAGUAAUUCUCAUGGGAUUUGUUCUGAAUGGACACCUAUAAAAUUGCACUAUGUAGUUUGUAUACUUUCAUUACCAAGAAACUUCUCAUGAAAUACUGGAUCCUGGUCCCAGAAGCCUCUUGUUUCCCUCUACUGUGUUGUAAUAUUUGAAUUUAGGGGCGUAAGAACAUUUUAAUCCACUUUUCUACCAUCAGGCAGCCUGUGCAAUCCUAGGCACCAUCUACCACAAAUAGAAAGCAAGGUCUCGGCAGAAAUUUGCAGAUGGUAACAUUUGGCUAUUGGCCACAUCUAAAUGGAACCUCCAUGUUUAGAGGCAAUAUAGCUCUGAAUACUAGCUGCCAGAGGACAAAUAGAAGGAUGUUGCCUUCAUGCUGUGGUUGUAAAUAUACCUGGAAGCAGUUGACUAGCCCCUGUUGGAAACAGAAUGGUGGCCCAGAUGGAUCUUAGCCUGAUCCAACCAGGCAGUUCUUAAACCACAGAGAAGUAGUUUAGGAUGGUGGGAGACUUGCUGCCAUCCAGUUGUAAUUGGUCUGCAACUCACAUCACCCCUAACCAGUAUGCCCAGUAGUCAGGGAUAAAGAGAACUGGAAGACCAGAAGUUCCCCACCUUGAUCAGUUCUUAAGGUGAGACAGAUCAAUGUACACACAGUUCCCUUUCUUGUAUAUUAGACACGAUUGUUGUAUAAAUAUUCUGUUGUAUAAAUAUUUUCAGACAUGCAUGUGAGUGAGUUUAAAUGUAUUUUCAGUUGCCACAUGGUUUUUGCCAUCACUAUAAGCCAGGAAUAGCCAACAUGGAUCACAACUCCAAUCAGCCCCAGACAAUAUGUCCAACGGUCAGGAAUGAUGGGCGUUGUAUCCCAAUAAUAUAUUAAGGGUGCCAUGUGAACAAUGCUAUUGAAUUUAAAAUGGGUCUGAUUCGUGUUAGAAUUCUCAGAGUCCUUGUUGUAGUUAUACUAGGAUCAGAGCUUUCCAUAAAGAACAUAGAAUAUUUGUAUUUCUUAAAGCCAUAUAAACCAGAAUGAGAUAAGCUGCUCCUGAAAUUACUGUCUGAGCGGAAAACAUGUCAAAUAUGCAUGAGCCUCCCAGCCCAGAGGGUGUUGGGGGCUGGGGAGGGAUAUUGAAAAUGGAAUGCAUUUGUUCCCCUCAGCUAGGAGACCAUUUGCUCUCUGCCUCACCUCUAAUCCUCAUUAAAAGAGUUCACUGAACUCAGCUGCUUUUGAAAGAAAAUUGAAGAGCAUCAUCUCAUCUUAUUUCUCAGAGCAAGCUGAAAGGAUGGCAGUGGUGUCUUCACAUUCUCCAUUUCCUCUUUGGAGUUUUGAAAAUAAAAAAAAUAUAUACCCAUAGUGACAGGCUCUUUCAUUAGCUUUUUGUACUUCCCUGCCCCUCAGGAUAGUGACAAGGAAUUCAACACAAGUCUGUUACAUGUCUGCAGUUGUUCAAAAGCAUGAGGGAUGGGCAUAUUAUUCUCACAAUACAGAAAUCUGAGCUGAGGGGCUGGCAUACAGGAGUGAGUCGAUCAGAAUACGCUUGCUCAGACUGUGUAGUCCUUGGGUUAUGCAUUCUACAUAGUUUGUUUAUUUAGUUUUUAUUGAGAUAUCUUGCCUUCUGGUUGUCUUUUUCUAUUUUAUACGUUUCCAAGUUCUGAGGGAGGAAGCAUUGCUUCUUAUGGGACAUUUACUUUUUGUUACUGGCAUGUUUUGUUACAUGCCUUGGAGGUAUCUCUAGGCCAAAAGGUCUCCUGGAUUCUCAUAUAUAGUUGUAGCUGUUGACUUCUUUUCUCAUUGGUGAGUAAUAUGGAAACCUCAACCAGAAGUAGUUGUCAUGGCGCAUGUGAGGCUGCUGUCAAAAGCAAACAAAACACUCUUGCAUCUUCUCUUCUCCGCCACCCUGGUAAUGUCUAGCAAUUGCUGUUGACUUUAAAAAAAAGCAAUUUGGUUUGAUCGCAAAUGAGGAUCACCCUUAAUACCUCGCUUUGUCACUGAGUUAAACCAGCUGCAGAAAACAGACCCAUUUCCUCUGUUUCCUCUCUUUAUCUGCUGUCUGUCAUUUCUGAGGGAAAUUUAUGCUGACUUGGUUCACUCACCAUCUCUCAUGCUCUGGUACCCAUAGACGAGACAAGAACAGGGGUGGGUGGGAAUCUACAUUAACUUGAGGCCAUGGUGAUAAUGAUUCACCCCAUUGUUCUGUUGGCUAACUCAGCUAGUCCUCCUGUUCAGGAAUUUAUUUAGCCAUUACUUUGGAGUGGUGGAUGUCUUAAAUGACUGAAGCCUUGUCAAAAUGUAUGGAUUAAAUCUGAAUUAAAUCUAGUAGUCAGUGACUGAAGCCACCAGAAAAAUCAAAGUAAUUAUGCAACAAAAACUGUCCUGAGUAAUUUUUAGUUGGAAGAAUGCCCCAUGUUUUGAUAAGGAUGCGUUACUACUUUGGGAUCGGCUCCUUGCUUUUACCAAUCUAGUCUCCCCGUACCAAACUAACUACUGGUACCUGUCAAUAGUUACUGUGCUGCAGCAGUUGGGAGACAUUAACUGUUCCUCCCUAACAGGAAAUUAAGGUAACGUGCUUGAUCAUGUAUCAGAUGGCUUGGGUAAUAGAAAACUGUCAGUGGCUCAGUGUUUAUGUAUCCCAUUUAUUUAUUUAGUCAUUCAUUUUAUAUCCUGCCCUCCCUCAUGAAGGAGCCCAGAAUGGCAAACACACCAAUAUAAAAACAUUGUAGAAAGAUUCUAAAAACAGUUGAAAACAUUCUCUCAGCUAGUGAUUUCAGGGUUACCAGGAACAGUAUCUUUCAGUCAGCAACUGCCUAGGUGAAAACAGAAAUGCUUUAAAGUUCAUCCUUAAACUGAGUAAUGAGGGAGACAGAUGCAGGAACACGGAAGCUGAGAAGGCCUUGUCACGGGUUAACACCCAGCAGGCAGUCCCCAGGGGCAGCACCACCAACAAAGCCCCACUUGCAGUAGGCCCUGCCCUGCGUUUUCCAUAAGGAACUGGGAAAAUUUGUUAUUACCUAAUUGGGAGGAAUAUUCAUGCCCCCCACCCAAAAAGCAACAACCCUCACACACCAGAUUCAAGUGGACUACCUAGCCUCACCCAUCAUGUUUGUAUGUUACUUGUGCUUGAAUUUCCUUGUUUUUGCUGUGUGCCCUUUUUCUGAAUUGAUGCAUUCUCUCCUUUAUUAUUUUCAAGGUCUUGGGGCUUUUCCAUCUCCCUCAAUAUUCCAAGAGUAUAAAGGCCUUGCUACUGUUCCUCUUCAUGCUAACAAAAAGUGUUUGCUGUGCCAAGCAAUAGGCAAAUGAGCGCUGAAAUGGAGGCCAGGGAUGGGGGGAAGCCUUCGUGUGACUUGCCAUGUUUUAGUUGGGUUUUGUAUUGAGCGGCUAUUAUAACAGUUCCAAGUAGUUGAAGGGAACAGGCUAUAACGUGCGUGGAUGUGUGUGGAACGUGUGACCUUGUGAUUCCCUUUGACAGCUGGACCAUUGAGCUAGUUGGGGAGGAAUUCCAAGGCAUUGGCUGUGGGUUUCAUUUGGCCCUUAUAUUGCCUGGACAUGUUAUUUUCCUAUUUUUAUUAUUUUUAAGCAGCUCAGUUGUUUCUUUAUAGCCUUUGCUGCUCUCUGGUCUCUUCCUAUUGCCAGAGCAACACCUGCUGGCUAAAGGGAAUACAGUUGCUUUCUGUGGCUGCUUGCUGACUUUUUGCAGCCACUUCUUAUUCUCUCCUUAACUUGCUUGCCUUCCCUAUACUCUUUUGUUUUCCCUGUUUGUUUGCUGAAUUGGUUGCAAGUCAGAUACUCCUAAAUUCCCACUUUCUUGUGCUACCCGAAUGGAAACAAGCCAGACUCCCGUUAUCACUUUUCCCUUCAUCACCAUCUCCUAAAUGCACAGCUUCGCAUCCUAGUGUCAAUUAAUAGUGACUUCUCUGUGGUUCCAAGCUUUCCAGGGAUGAAGAAUCUGUGGCCCUCCUUAGGCUUUUGGACUCCAACUCCCAUCACCCUAAGCCAGCAUGACCAGUGGUCAAGGAUAAUGGGAAUUGUACUCCAACAACAUCUGGAGGGUCACAGCUUCCCUAUCCCUGCUUUAGACUGUGACCAUUACUGUUGUUGUUUUCUUUCUUUCUUUUAAAAAAGGAAUAGCAGACAGACAGAAUGAAGGAAACAGAGCAGUGUGCACUUGAGGCACCCAGACACCAAGAUUUCAAUGCUGCAUUUUAACAUUAUAAUUGGUUUUUCUGUUAAGUUUUUGCCUGAAUCUUCUUCUUCUUCUUCUUCUUUGCUGUAUAUUUUCUCACAGCAUUCUGCAUUGCAAAGGCAUUUUUACGACUCCCAGUUACAAACUGUCCUUGGCAUGCAUGUUUUGGGGGUCUACUUUGUUUUGGUUUUUUUUGUUUUUUAAAAAUUAAGCUUUAUUAAUUUAACAGUAAAAUACAAUCAAAUAUCAAUAAUAAACC